rnacentral:tRNA from 1 species
GGGAAUUUAGUUUAUACAAAACAAAUGUCUUGAAAACAUUUAUAAGAACAUUAGCUCUAGUUUCCA